GGCUCAAUGGUCUAGUGGUAUGAUUCGUGCUUCGGGAAUUGCUUCCCACAAUCCUGUAAAAAAGGAUUGGAAAAUGUGCGAGGUCUCGGGUUCGAUCCCCGAUUGAGCCC